rnacentral:lncRNA from 1 species
CUGUUAUUUUAAUCUUAACCUUGUAUUUGUUUCUUUGUUUAAUUAUUUUGCUAUUUAUUAAGUUGAAGAUGUUUCUGUUUGGUAUAUAUAUCAAGUACAAAAGUAUUUGCUAAAUUGUAUUAUGCUGAAUGGAAUACAAUCAGUUACAUAUCAUGGCUAUAUAUCAAAAAGUAGUAACGUUUACAGAAGACCAUGUGUUUAAGGCAUAUGGGUCCGUUUUACUUUGAUCUAAACAGGCAUACUUAUUUAAAACACAUAUACGGAACAGUAAACUGUAGCAAGCUGUUUUGAACUUGCAGCUAUUUGGUAGUUAUGUAUGAUGUAAAUGUAUCACCAUGAAUUUAAAAUGAAAAAUAGAAAUACAAAAAUAAACGAC